CCAAAGCUUUUGUGCCUAAGGAUGGGUCUGCGGUCUAUCAGGUCGUAGUGGGUGUAAAGUACCUACUAGCCUACGACGGAUACGGGUUGUGAGAGCAAGAGCCCGGAGAUGGAUUCUGAGACAUGAAUCCAGGCCCUACGGGGCGCAGCAGGCGCGAAAACUCUACAAUGCGGGAAACCGUGAUAAGGGGACACCGAGUGCCAGCAUCAUAUGCUGGCUGUCCAGGUGUGUAAAAUACACCUGUUAGCAAGGGCCGGGCAAGACCGGUGCCAGCCGCCGCGGUAACACCGGCGGCCCGAGUGGUGAUCGUGAUUAUUGGGUCUAAAGGGUCCGUAGCCGGUUUGGUCAGUCCUCCGGGAAAUCUGAUAGCUUAACUAUUAGGCUUUCGGGGGAUACUGCCAGACUUGGAACCGGGAGAGGUAAGAGGUACUACAGGGGUAGGAGUGAAAUCUUGUAAUCCCUGUGGGACCACCUGUAGCGAAGGCGUCUUACCAGAACGGGUUCGACGGUGAGGGACGAAAGCUGGGGGCACGAACCGGAUUAGAUACCCGGGUAGUCCCAGCCGUAAACGAUGCUCGCUAGGUGUCAGGCAUGGCGCGACCGUGUCUGGUGCCGCAGGGAAGCCGUGAAGCGAGCCACCUGGGAAGUACGGCCGCAAGGCUGAAACUUAA
rnacentral:rRNA from 1 species